rnacentral:rRNA from 1 species
CCCGUCACCAGUAUUGAAUAAAAUCAUAAAUUAUGAAAAUUAUUAUGCUAGAACUAGUAACAAGAAAAUGAAUUUCUCCAAAGCGUAAGCAUAAACCAAUGAUGGACAACCCAUUGGCACAUAACGGCACUGAAUUGACUAUAGUAACAAACCUAGAAAACCCUAUUAACUCAAACCGUUAACCUUACACAAGAACCCUUCUGGAAAGAUUAAGAGGAAGAGAAGGAACUCGGCAAAUGUUAGCCCCGCCUGUUUACCAAAAACAUCGCCUCCUGUUUAAAUAUAAGAGGUCCAGCCUGCCCAGUGUUUUAAUUCAACGGCCGCGUGAUUUAAGCGCGCGAAGGUAGCAUAAUAAUUUGUUCUUUAAAUGUGGACUUGUAUCAAUGGCAUCACGAGGGCUAUACUGUCUCCUCUCCCCAAUCAGUGAAACUAAUCUCCCUGUGAAAAAGCAGGGAUAAGACUAUAAGACGAGAAGACCCCAUGGAGCUUAAAACACUGCAUUAAUACUAAUUACACUGUCAAUAUAAUUUUAUACUAUACAUGCUCGUUUUAGGUUGGGGUGACCGCGGAGUAAAACAAAACCUCCACAACGAAAAGGGAGUUGUACCUUUAUCUAAGAGACACUUUUCUAAGAAUUAUUUAAUAUAACGUCUAAUGACCCGACUAUCGAUCAACGGACCAAGUUACCCUGGGGAUAACAGCGCAAUCCACUUUAAGAGCUCCUAUCGACAGGUGGGCUUACGACCUCGAUGUUGGAUCAGGAUAUCCCAGUGGUGCAGCUGCUACUAAAGG